GUUUUAUGAGUUAAAGUUUUCAUUUAGUAUGUUUUAUGAGUUAAAGUUUUCAUUAGUAUGUUUUAUAAGUUUAAGUUUGUAUAUUUAGUGCUUUACUUAUCUUGUCAGUUUAUUAUAAGUUUAUGCUGUGUCCGUUUACUGUCAUGAUAUAUAUAUUCUUUGGAUUACCGAACUUUAUAAUUUAUGUUCACCGCCUAUUCAUGGACGUUUACACCGUGUGAAACUCUUCCUACGGUUGGACCGUGUGAUUAUGUGACAUGUUUGUGACAUUUAUUGACAUUUUAUUUGCAUUGAUUAAUUAUAUUAUGUUAUGUUUAUGGUUUUCAACACAUCUAUUUUAAAUACUUUCCCAAAAUAUUAUUUUGUUUAAUAUAUGUCCUAAAGGGGGAGGAAUAUAACAUAUGUUUUUUCUUCAGUACCUUUUCUGUUAAAGUUGUCCUGAUAAAUGACAAGAUUAUGAAUUCCAUUUGAUAUUCAGUCGGAGUCGGCCUUGCACAGGCCUCCAAAUACUUGCCUGAAUGUAUCAUUCCACUCGAGUCUAGAGUUAAAGUGUAGUCACCAAUUCGGUACUGUUCGCUAGAGUUAACCAACCAAUUUUGGUGCAAAUAUUAGUACUUUAAAACACAACGCGAAGCAAGUUUACCUUUCUUUUAAGGCUAACUCUUGGAACACUUUAAUUUCAUUUUACAUUUGAAACUUUUUUAUUUUUGAACUCCGAUUAAGAAAGUUAUCUGACUCCUGUUUAAUCCGACUUUGUUCAAUGCAGUUAUUGUACAUUUGUGAAUAAAAUAUAGUUUCAUUUGAGUAAUUGUCUGUUGUUCGGCCAUAAUCUGAUAUCAGGUAUCCCAAUAGUCGAAUUGGGGCGAAGCACUGGCCACUACACGUCCCGGGAGGUGUCGUCACCGACCCGCUCCGUUACAAUAAAAAGACGAAUCAAGAUACGAAA
rnacentral:lncRNA from 1 species